UACCAGCACCCCGAGUGGUCGGGACGAUUAUUGGGCCUAAAGCUUCCGUAGCCGGCCUUACAAGUCCUCCGUUAAAUCCAGCUGCUUAACAGAUGGGCUGCGGAGGAUACUAUAAGACUAGGAGGCAGGAGAGGCAAGCGGUACUCAGUGGGUAGGGGUAAAAUCCGUUGAUCCAUUGAAGACCACCAGUGGCGAAGGCGGCUUGCCAGAAUGCGCUCGACGGUGAGGGAUGAAAGCUGGGGGAGCAAACCGG
rnacentral:rRNA from 1 species